rnacentral:rRNA from 1 species
GACGAACGCUGGCGGCGUGCCUAACACAUGCAAGUCGAACGGGACCGGGGGCAACUCCGGUUCAGUGGCGGACGGGUGCGUAACACGUGAGGAACAUGACGUUCGGCGGGGGAUAGCCGGCCCAACGGCCGGGUAAUACCGCGUACGACCCAAUGGAGACAUCUCCGCUGGGGGAAAGCAGCAAUGCACCGAACGAGUGCCUCGCGGCCUAUCAGCUAGUUGGUGGGGUAACGGCUCACCAAGGCGACGACGGGUAGCUGGUCUGAGAGGAUGGCCAGCCACAUUGGGACUGAGACACGGCCCAGACUCCUACGGGAGGCAGCAGUGGGGAAUAUUGCGCAAUGGGCGAAAGCCUGACGCAGCGACGCCGCGUGUGGGAUGACGGCCUUCGGGUUGUAAACCACUGUCGGGAGGGACGAAUGCGCCGCAAGGCGAGUGACGGUACCUCCAAAGGAAGCACCGGCUAACUCCGUGCCAGCAGCCGCCGUAAAAC